UCUUAGUGAGCAGCUGCCGAGUAGCUCGCUGAAAGUCACUCGGAGGGAGAAAAACUGCCCACAAAGGCUCUCCACGGAGCCGGGGGGGAGGGGGGGCUCGCCAACUCUUUCGGAAGAGGCAGCGAAGGGAGGAGGGGGGAGAACCGCGCAGGUCAGCCCCCAUGUCCUCACUUAAGUCGAGGAAACUCUUUCUCCGGCCCUCCGCUAAAGUCGCCCGGGAAGAGGCUGCCGGAGUUGCCCCAGUUCGGCAGAGACGGGCAGGAGCGGAGGAGGAGGGAGAUCCUGAGCCCUCAACACUUCUCUCUGCGGGGAAGUAGCUGGGAGCGCGGGGCUGGCAGGAAGAGCUCAGCUGCUGGGCGGCGGGAAGCAGGGGGGCAGGGAGCGCCCGCCAGCGAGCACUGUCAGAUCAUUUCUUAGAUCCUGUUUGGAGUACGGGUACAUAAACAAUUGAAUCAGCACAAGUGAAGGUGCAGUGAACUCCUGUUGGGGCCUGGGAUGUUUGCAGUCUGGUCAGGUGAAGAGACGUAGGAGUCUCCUCGACCAGCUGUGCCCUGGAGGGAUUCAUAACACAGAACCAGGCUCCGAUCAAACACAGCUAUUGUAAACUAGUUUAUACACAAGACAUCUAAGAAGCUAACAGAAGAAUCCCUCAAAUUGUGGGAUUUGCUUAUGAGAGCUGGAAAUAAAAGAAGAAAACAACAGAAAUUGUGUGCUGGAUUCAUGCCAAGUGUUCCAACUUGUCACAUUUCCAAGAUCCUACCUCCAUCUUCAAGCCAGUUUCCUUUGGUUUAGUUUUCCUCAUCAGCCACCAUUAAGGUUUCUCUCAGCCAGUGCCUCUUAGGUGUCACCUCCCUUCCUAAUCACGUGUGAGGCUCGAGGCUGUUCACGCUGCCUGAGCUCCCUAGCACUGCACAGCGUGUAAGCAGCGCAAAGUGCGAUCUUGCUUUCAUUAGCAGUGAUUUUGGUUUGGGGUAAGUGGCAUAAUGCAUAAAAAGUAGCAAGUAAUAUAACAGUGUUAGUUUAUGAAAUUUGCGGUUCUCACACAUGCUCAAAAUAGUUGAAAGUUUUUUUUUUUUAAGAACGUAAGUUAAUUUAGCACGAUUAUAGUACUAUUGGAAAGCCUCAGAGUGACAUCAAUGGCACUUGAAGUGUUUGGGUUCCCCCCCCACGGCAAGAGGUACGACGAGGAAAUACAUUAAGAUAUAUAAGCACCUAGGACAGCGAUUCCCAAAUUCAGUCUCCUAAUACUUUUAAGUUUACAUCCAUUAUUUGUAUCUCUAUUUGCAGUUACAAGCCUAAGAGAAGUGAGGCUUCUAACCUAAAGCAUGGGUCCUCAUUACAAAAAUUUGCAAUUGCUGGUUAAGCAUAAAGUUCUUUAUGAACUUAUAAAAGAACUAAAUAAUGUACAAAUGGAUGUCAAAUUAACGUUACUUUUGGUAUGUUAUAUUUUGCAAUGGACCAAAAAAGACUUUGGAAGCAAUAGGGUUUUCUUGGAUCAACAGGAUUCCCAUACUGACUGCACAAGGAUGUGUCCCCUAAUGUCACGAGGAUGCUGAAGUCAAUCUGAGACCCAGAAGCUAACCUUCUUGUGCAAGAGUUAAAAGGAAGAGACUACUGUAGCUUGACACCCACUUUCAAAAAGCUUGUAUUUACAAGAUUAAGUAUUUUGCUUAAGCUAUGAAACUCAUCAUAUUGUGCAAAAAUAAAAAGUUACGUAAGAGAAAGUCAGAUUUUUGCAGCAAGAUUAACUUCAUAAGAUUAAAAAAAAAACAUGAAUAAUUUUAAAUGCUCUCUGCCUUGAGAAUUUCUUGAGUUUAGAUUAACUCAUUCUUCAAAAUUUGCACACGACCAUAUGCAGUUCUAGUAACCCUGACUUUUCAAUAAUUAUUGUAAUUAUUCACCUAGAUGUUUUCACAGCAGGACUCUGCAAAAGUGUUUUUCAUUUUUCAAUAGUAAGCUUCAUUUUGCAAUCUAAGAGCAAAACCCUAAUUGAAAUACCUCUCCAGUACAUUUCUAGUAAUUUUCACUUCAGAAGCUUUUUACCCCCGCCAUCUUCAGUAGCU